CCUACGGGAGGCAGCAGUGGGGGAUAUUGCACAAUGGGGGAAACCCUGAUGCAGCGACGCCGCGUGGGCGAAGAAGUAUUUCGGUAUGUAAAGCCCUAUCAGCAGGGAAGAAGAAAUGACGGUACCUGAGUAAGAAGCACCGGCUAAAUACGUGCCAGCAGCCGCGGUAAUACGUAUGGUGCAAGCGUUAUCCGGAUUUACUGGGUGUAACGGGAGCGCAGGCGGCACGGCAAGCCUGAUGGGAAAGCCCGCGGCCCAAACGCGGGGAUGCAGUUGGAACUACCGGGCUGGAGUGGCGGAGAGGUAGGGGGAAUGCCCAGUGUAGCGGUGAAAUGCGUAGAUAAUAGGGGG
rnacentral:rRNA from 1 species